AAUACGUUCCCGGGCCUUGUACACACCGCCCGUCACACCAUGGGAGUGGGUUUUACCAGAAGUAGGUAGUCUAACCUUCGGGGGGACGCUUACCACGGUAGUAUUCACGACUGGGGUG
rnacentral:rRNA from 1 species